rnacentral:misc_RNA from 1 species
UCCUCUUUACAGAGGCAGUUUGUCUCGAGUUCCCGACUUGACUCGCUGGUAACAAGACAUGAGGGUUGCGCUCGUUGCGGGACUUAACCCAACAUUUCACAACACGAGCUGACGACAGCCAUGCACCACCUGUGUAGCACCCUCGAAGGAGACUCCUUUUCGGGAGCUUGCAGCUACAUGUCAAGCCCUGGUAAGGUUCUUCGCGUUGCAUCGAAUUAAGCCACAUGCUCCACCGCUUGUGCGGGCCCCCGCCAAUUCCUUUGAGUUUCAACCUUGCGGCCGUAGUCCCCAGGCGGUUCACUUAAUGCGUUAGCUGCGGCACCGAGGGAAACCCCCGACACCUAGUGAACAUCGUUUAUGGCCAAGACUAC